rnacentral:misc_RNA from 1 species
GAAAUGCGAUAAGUAAUGUGAAUUGCAGAAUUCAGUGAAUCAUCGAAUCUUUGAACGCACAUUGCGCCCCGUGGUAUUCCGCGGGGCAUGCCUGUUCGAGCGUCAUUACAACCCCUCAAGCUCACGCUUGGUAUUGGAGCAUGCGGUCUCGCAGCCCCUAAACUCAGUGGCGGUGCCAUCGAGCUCUGAGCGUAGUAAAUUUUCUCGCUAUAGGGUCUCGGUGGUUGCUUGCCAACAACCCCCCAUUUUAUCAGGUUGACCUCGGAUCAGGUAGGGAUACCCGCUGAACUUAA